GAUGAACGCUGGCGGCGUGCCUAAUACAUGCAAGUCGAGCGAACAGACGAGGAGCUUGCUCCUUUGACGUUAGCGGCGGACGGGUGAGUAACACGUAGGUAACCUACCUAUAAGACUGGGAUAACUUCGGGAAACCGGAGCUAAUACCGGAUAAUAUUUCGAACCGCAUGGUUCGAUAGUGAAAGAUGGCUUUGCUAUCACUUAUAGAUGGACCUGCGCCGUAUUAGCUAGUUGGUAAGGUAACGGCUUACCAAGGCAACGAUACGUAGCCGACCUGAGAGGGUGAUCGGCCACACUGGACCUGAGACACGGUCCAGACUCCUACGGGAGGCAGCAGUAGGGAAUCUUCCGCAAUGGGCGAAAGCCUGACGGAGCAACGCCGCGUGAGUGAUGAAGGUCUUCGGAUCGUAAAACUCUGUUAUUAGGGAAGAACAAACGUGUAAGUAACUGUGCACGUCUUGACGGUACCUAAUCAGAAAGCCACGGCUAACUACGUG
rnacentral:rRNA from 1 species